AAGGACGACCAGUGGCGAAAGCGUUUAACUAGAACGAAUCUGACGGUAAGGAACGAAGGCUAGGGUAGCAAACCGGAUUAGAUACCCGGGUAGUCCUAGCUGUAAACAUUGCCCGUUUGAUGUUGCUUUCCCGUUGAGGGAAGGCAGUGUCGGAGCGAAGGUGUUAAAUGGGCCGCUUGGGAAGUAUGGUCGCAAGACUGAAACUUAAAGGAAUUGGCGGGGGAGCACCGCAACGGGAGGAAUGUGCGGUUUAAUUGGAUUCAACGCCGGAAAACUCACCGGGAACGACCUGUGCAUGAGAGUCAACUUGACGAGCUUACUCGAUAGCAGGAGAGGUGGUGCAUGGCCGUCGUCAGCUCGUACCGUAGGGCGUUCACUUAAGUGUGAUAACGAGCGAGACCCACAUCUUUAAUUGCAAAUGUAUAUGGGAAUAUGCAUGCACUUUAGAGAAACCGCCAGCGCUAAGCUGGAGGAAGGAGUGGUCGACGGCAGGUCAGUACGCCCCGAAUUUCCCGGGCUACACGCGCAUUACAAAGAACGGGACAAUACGUUGCAACCUCGAAAGAGGGAGCCAAUCGCGAAACCCGUCCAUAGUUAGGAUUGAGGGCUGUAACUCGCCCUCAUGAUCUGGAUUCCGUAGAAU
rnacentral:rRNA from 1 species